CCAGAAGAGGUGCGAAGCUAAGGUAGAAAAUGUGAGGAACCACGAUUCCUUUGACCGUUUUUGAGGGUAGUUAUCGCCGAGAAUAUUUAAGGGUGGGCUUAAAUAUUCGGUCACUAAGGUUGAAUCCUUAUGGCUGUCACCUGUAGUAAUUAGUGCUCAAUGAGCAUGCAAUUUUAGGUGGAGAGCUUCUGGC
rnacentral:ncRNA from 1 species